rnacentral:rRNA from 1 species
UACAGGGGGGGCAAGCGUUGUUCGGAAUUACUGGGCGUAAAGGGCUCGUAGGCGGCCAACUAAGUCACACGUGAAAUCCCCAGGCUUAACCUGGGAACUGCGUGUGAUACUGGAUGGCUUGAAUUCGGGAGAGGGAUGUGGAAUUCCAGGUGUAGCGGUGAAAUGCGUAGAUAUCUGGAGGAACACCGGUGGCGAAGGCGGCAUCCUGGACCGAUAUUGACGCUGAUGCGCGAAAGCCAGGGGAGCAAACGGG